UAUGACUCCUUCUCUUUUAGAACAUUAUAACUUGCAAAAAUCACCAAGAAACCACUCCCAUUUGUAACUGUUGGGACCCUGAAGCUUGCCCACUUGAUCAGGUGUGUAUGAUGAAUUCUGUCAUAUACAAAGC